rnacentral:rRNA from 1 species
AUUGAACGCUGGCGGCAGGCCUAACACAUGCAAGUCGAGCGGAUCGGCAGUCGGGGAAGUAAUGCAUAGGAAUCUGACUGGUAGUGGGGGAGAAGGUACGGAAAGGGGAGCUAAUACCGCUUCCUAUUACAUGAGGCUAGGUCGUAUUAGCUAGUUGGUGGGGUAAAGGCCUACAAAGGCGACGAUCCGUAACUGGUCUGAGAGGAUGAGCAGUCACAAUGGAACUGAGACACGGUCCAGACUCCUACGGGAGGCAGCAGGGGGGAAUAUUGGACAAUGGGCGAAACCCUGACCCAGCCAUGCCGCGUGUGUGAAGAAGGUCUUCGGAUUGUAAAGCACUUUCGGUUGGGAGGCGUUACCAACAGAAGAAGCACCGGCUAACUUCGUGCCAGCAGCCGCGGUAAUAC